UUAAGCGACUAAGCGUACACGGUGGAUGCCCUGGCAGUCAGAGGCGAUGAAGGACGUGCUAAUCUGCGAAAAGCGUCGGUAAGGUGAUAUGAACCGUUAUAACCGGCGAUGUCCGAAUGGGGAAACCCAGUGCAAUUCGUUGCACUAUCGUUAACUGAAUACAUAGGUUAACGAGGCGAACCGGGGGAACUGAAACAUCUAAGUACCCCGAGGAAAAGAAAUCAACCGAGAUUCCCCCAGUAGCGGCGAGCGAACGGGGAGCAGCCCGGAGUCUGAAUCAGCUUGUGUGUUAGUGGAAGCGUCUGGAAAGUCGCAGGGUACAGGGUGAUACUCCCGUACACUAAAACACACAGGUUGUGAACUCGAAGAGUAGGGCGGGACACGUGGUAUCCUGUCUGAAUAUGGGGGGACCAUCCUCCAAGGCUAAAUACUCCUGACUGACCGAUAGUGAACCAGUACCGUGAGGGAAAGGCGAAAAGAACCCCGGCGAGGGGAGUGAAAAAGAACCUGAAACCGUGUACGUACAAGCAGUAGGAGCCCCACCACCAAAGCGUUUCGCUUUGCGUGGUGCGCAAAAUGCGUAACGACAGCAUGAUGGACGGUUAACGGAGCGUCAGCGACGUUCAACCUCAAAAAUCAGGCAGUGGAGCGUUUUGGGGUGGGGUGACUGCGUACCUUUUGUAUAAUGGGUCAGCGACUUAUAUUCUGUAGCAAGGUUAACCGAAUAGGGGAGCCGCAGGGAAACCGAGUCUUAACUGGGCGUUAAGUUGCAGGGUAUAGACCCGAAACCCGGUGAUCUAGCCAUGGGCAGGUUGAAGGUUGGGUAACACUAACUGGAGGACCGAACCGACUAAUGUUGAAAAAUUAGCGGAUGACUUGUGGCUGGGGGUGAAAGGCCAAUCAAACCGGGAGAUAGCUGGUUCUCCCCGAAAGCUAUUUAGGUAGCGCCUCGUGAACUCAUCUUCGGGGGUAGAGCACUGUUUCGGCUAGGGGGUCAUCCCGACUUACCAACCCGAUGCAAACUACGAAUACCGAAGAAUGUUAUCACGGGAGACACACGGCGGGUGCUAACGUCCGUCGUGAAGAGGGAAACAACCCAGACCGCCAGCUAAGGUCCCAAAGUCAUGGUUAAGUGGGAAACGAUGUGGGAAGGCCCAGACAGCCAGGAUGUUGGCUUAGAAGCAGCCAUCAUUUAAAGAAAGCGUAAUAGCUCACUGGUCGAGUCGGCCUGCGCGGAAGAUGUAACGGGGCUAAACCAUGCACCGAAGCUGCGGCAGCGACACUAUGUGUUGUUGGGUAGGGGAGCGUUCUGUAAGCCGUUGAAGGUGGCCUGUGAGGGUUGCUGGAGGUAUCAGAAGUGCGAAUGCUGACAUAAGUAACGAUAAUGCGGGUGAAAAACCCGCACGCCGGAAGACCAAGGGUUCCUGUCCAACGUUAAUCGGGGCAGGGUGAGUCGACCCCUAAGGCGAGGCCGAAAGGCGUAGUCGAUGGGAAACAGGUUAAUAUUCCUGUACUUGGUGUUGCUGCGAAGGGGGGACGGAGAAGGCUAUGUUGGCCGGGCGACGGUUGUCCCGGUUUAAGCAUGUAGGCGGAUGUUCCAGGUAAAUCCGGAACGUUACUAACGCUGAGGUGUGAUGACGAGGCACUACGGUGCUGAAGUGACAAAUGCCCUGCUUCCAGGAAAAGCCUCUAAGCAUCAGGUAACAUCAAAUCGUACCCCAAACCGACACAGGUGGUCAGGUAGAGAAUACCAAGGCGCUUGAGAGAACUCGGGUGAAGGAACUAGGCAAAAUGGUGCCGUAACUUCGGGAGAAGGCACGCUGAUGGUAGGUGAAGCGACUUGCUCGUGGAGCUGAAAUCAGUCGAAGAUACCAGCUGGCUGCAACUGUUUAUUAAAAACACAGCACUGUGCAAACACGAAAGUGGACGUAUACGGUGUGACGCCUGCCCGGUGCCGGAAGGUUAAUUGAUGGGGUUAUCCUCACGGAGAAGCUCUUGAUCGAAGCCCCGGUAAACGGCGGCCGUAACUAUAACGGUCCUAAGGUAGCGAAAUUCCUUGUCGGGUAAGUUCCGACCUGCACGAAUGGCGUAAUGAUGGCCAGGCUGUCUCCACCCGAGACUCAGUGAAAUUGAACUCGCUGUGAAGAUGCAGUGUACCCGCGGCAAGACGGAAAGACCCCGUGAACCUUUACUAUAGCUUGACACUGAACACUGGUCCUUGAUGUGUAGGAUAGGUGGGAGGCUUUGAAGUGUGGACGCCAGUCUGCAUGGAGCCAUCCUUGAAAUACCACCCUUUAAUGGCUGGUGUUCUAACGUGGGCCCCUAAUCGGGGUUGCGGACAGUGUCUGGUGGGUAGUUUGACUGGGGCGGUCUCCUCCUAAAGAGUAACGGAGGAGCACGAAGGUCAGCUAAUCCUGGUCGGACAUCAGGAGGUUAGUGCAAUGGCAUAAGCUGGCUUGACUGCGAGCGUGACGGCGCGAGCAGGUGCGAAAGCAGGUCAUAGUGAUCCGGUGGUUCUGAAUGGAAGGGCCAUCGCUCAACGGAUAAAAGGUACUCCGGGGAUAACAGGCUGAUACCGCCCAAGAGUUCAUAUCGACGGCGGUGUUUGGCACCUCGAUGUCGGCUCAUCACAUCCUGGGGCUGAAGUAGGUCCCAAGGGUAUGGCUGUUCGCCAUUUAAAGUGGUACGCGAGCUGGGUUUAGAACGUCGUGAGACAGUUCGGUCCCUAUCUGCCGUGGGCGCUGGAGAAUUGAGGGGGGCUGCUCCUAGUACGAGAGGACCGGAGUGGACGCAUCACUGGUGUUCGGGUUGUCAUGCCAAUGGCAUUGCCCGGUAGCUAAAUGCGGAAGAGAUAAGUGCUGAAAGCAUCUAAGCACGAAACUUGCCCCGAGAUGAGUUCUCCCUGACUCCUUGAGAGUCCUGAAGGAACGUUGAAGACGACGACGUUGAUAGGCCGGGUGUGUAAGCGCAGCGAUGCGUUGAGCUAACCGGUACUAAUGAACCGUGAGGCUUAACCUU
rnacentral:rRNA from 1 species